rnacentral:rRNA from 1 species
GAUGAACGCUGGCGGCGCGCCUAACACAUGCAAGUCGAACGAUUAAAGCACCUUCGGGUGUGUAUAAAGUGGCGAACGGCUGAGUAACACGUGGGCAACCUGCCCCUUUCAUUGGGAUAGCCACGGGAAACCGUGGAUAAUACCGAAUACUUCGAGACUUCCGCAUGGAAGACUCGAGAAAGCUCCGGCGGAGAGGGAUGGGCCCGCGGCCUGUUAGCUUGUUGGUGGGGUAACGGCCUACCAAGGCAAUGAUGGGUAGCUGGGUUGAGAGACCGACCAGCCAGAUUGGGACUGAGACACGGCCCAGACUCCUACGGGAGGCAGCAGUGGGGAAUCUUGCACAAUGGGCGAAAGCCUGAUGCAGCGACGCCGCGUGCGGGAUGAGGCCUUCGGGUUGUAAACCGCUUUCAGCAGGGACGAGGCGAAAGUGACGGUACCUGCAGAAGAAGCCCCGGCUAACUACGUG